GCGCGAUUAGCUCAGGUGGCUAGAGCGCGUCACUGAUAAUGACGAGGUCCCAAGUUCGAGUCUUGGAUCGCGCA
rnacentral:tRNA from 1 species